rnacentral:lncRNA from 1 species
GGGGGGUGGCUGUGAGGAUUCAGUGAGAACGAACAUAAGGCAAUUAACAGCACCUAGCACUGGAAAAAUUAAUGGUGGCUGCCGGGACUAUCCUCUCCAUCAGUCAAACUGUGAUCAGUGGGGAAGGCACAAGGUAUUCAUUAUAAAACACCGUCUUAACGCCUGACACAGUCCUUGGCCCGCUACGAGUCGUGACCUAGAGUUAAAGAUGAGACAGAAAAAAAAAUGCAUGUGAUCAAACGUGGACACAUAAAAAUUCUUUUAAAUUAAGUUUUAGGGUUUUUCCCUCUUUAUAGGACUGUUUUCAAUUCUGGCCUAAGUUUCCAGGGAGAAGAGAGAGAGAUGAAAGAGAAAGUUACAUCUAAGAGAGAAAGGAUCAACCGGCGUGACCGCAAGCAGACAGUAGAUGGAAAAUGAAGUGACGUCAAGGAGGCUGAAAUAACUGAGUAAUGAGAGAGCAGUGGAUUUCUCUAGAACUGGAAGGGACCACAGUCUAGUGCUCUACUUCAAAUGUAAAGAACAGACCUGGAAAGACGACAGCAACAACAGCCACUGCCUGCCCAGAGUGGUUCCCCGUGCCUGCCCCAAACGCAGACGCGUGCGCUCAGUGACUGAUGAAGGCUGCCCCUCACAUCCAGUCUGCUGUCAGACCUGCCUCUCCUCCUCCCUGGCAUCCCCCUCCUUCCCUUCUCCGGGCACAGGGAAGCUCUGGAUGAAGUUGUGAUAAAGGCCUCCCCCUAGAAGAGAGGAAAUUCCACAGCUCUGAUGUGAUGUGAAACGUGAUCUGCACGCCCCAGCACUCUUUCUUUCUCACUCUCCCAGCCAGUUCCCAAACUGGGUCUCCCUGGCCCCUCUCGAAGCCGCCCGCCCCGUCCCCCUCGCCACCCCCCACUUCUUUCCCUCUCCAUUUUACACACUGUAACCUGAUAGGCUGGAAAUGCAGUUUCUUUCAUCUCCCAUUUCCCACAUCCUGAAAGUCUGCAGAGAAGGAGCCCACCCAGAUAAAGGAAUUCCAAGCAUGUGCAUCCCCUCCCCCUUUAACUCCAUUCACAAAGCAGAUUACUAAUGGCCCGAGGCUCCAGGGAGGCCCUCCUCCCCCUCCCCCCGCCCCAGUCUCCAAAGAGUUUACUCAUUCCUCAUCCUUACUCCCCACCGGCACAAAAGCCUAAAUCCACAUGCCC